CCUACGGGAGGCAGCAGUGGGGAAUAUUGCACAAUGGGGGAAACCCUGAUGCAGCGACGCCGCGUGAGUGAGGAAGUAUUUCGGUAUGUAAAGCUCUAUCAGCAGGGAAGAAAAUGACGGUACCUGACUAAGAAGCCCCGGCUAACUACGUGCCAGCAGCCGCGGUAAUACGUAGGGGGCAAGCGUUAUCCGGAUUUACUGGGUGUAAAGGGAGCGUAGACGGAAUAGCAAGUCUGAUGUGAAAACCCGGGGCUCAACUCCGGGAGUGCAUUGGAAACUGUUGAUCUAGAGUGUCGGAGAGGCAAGCGGAAUUCCUAGUGUAGCGGUGAAAUGCGUAGAUAUUAGGAGGAACACCAGUGGCGAAGGCGGCUUGCUGGACGAUGACUGACGUUGAGGCUCGAAAGCGUGGGGAGCAAACAGGAUUAGAUACCCUUGUAGUC
rnacentral:rRNA from 1 species